UGGGGAAUAUUGCACAAUGGGCGCAAGCCUGAUGCAGCCAUGCCGCGUGUGUGAAGAAGGCCUUCGGGUUGUAAAGCACUUUCAGCGAGGAGGAAGGUGGUGGACUUAAUACGUUCAUCAAUUGACGUUACUCGCAGAAGAAGCACCGGCUAACUCCGUGCCAGCAGCCGCGGUAAUACGGAGGGUGCAAGCGUUAAUCGGAAUUACUGGGCGUAAAGCGCACGCAGGCGGUUUGUUAAGUCAGAUGUGAAAUCCCCGGGCUCAACCUGGGAACUGCAUUUGAAACUGGCAAGCUAGAGUCUCGUAGAGGGGGGUAGAAUUCCAGGUGUAGCGGUGAAAUGCGUAGAGAUCUGGAGGAAUACCGGUGGCGAAGGCGGCCCCCUGGACGAAGACUGACGCUCAGGUGCGAAAAGCGUGGGGAGCAAACAGGAUUAGAUACCCCUGGUAGUCCACGCUGUAAAACGAUGUCGAUUUUGGAGGUUGUGCCCUUGAGGCGUGGCUUCCGGAGCUAACGCGUUAAAUCGACCGCCUGGGGAGUACGG
rnacentral:rRNA from 1 species